rnacentral:tRNA from 1 species
GGUUAUGGCUCAGUGGUAGAGUGCUUGUCUUGCAUGUGCAAGACUCUGGGUUUGAUCCUCAGCACCA